CCCCCACGGCUCCGCCUCGCUUGGCACCGGCCCACCUCGCCACCGGCCCUCCCCCUCACCUUCUCCCACCUUGCAGCGCCGGCGUGUGCCAGAUCCGCCUGCAUCCCCCAGCCAACCAUCCCUCUCACAUCUCAUCUCUCUCUCCAAGCGGCUCCUCGUUGCGCUACCUGCGGCGGCUGAUCCAAACGACGUCCGGCGAAUCCCCACCACCAUGAAGCACCGCUCGAGGCCCCCUCGCACUCGUGGCGCCCUCUCAUACGACUAGAUCCGGCGCUCGCGGCCAGUAAAGCUCACCGGCGACCCUCCUCCCAUGGCUAGGGUUUCGGGCAUCUACUCCGGCGCUGGUGGCCAAGUUGCCCUCCUCUCGUCCGACGUGGAGGGAGGUACUGUGGACAGCCUUCCUGCUGCUCGGGACGAAGUAGCCAUGGAGCUUCCUCCUCCUCCUCUGGCUUCAGCAUCAUGUCGAUAUGGCACUGUGGAAAUUGAAGAUUUGGUAUGGAGUCGCAAAAACUGCAAUACUCUCGGUAAUGCAGAAAAAACAAAGAUUUCAUGGUCUUCAACCUUUAUUCAAAAGAUACAUGGAUGAUUAUAUGGGUGUGUGGCAAGUAUACUGCAAUGAUGAUGAUGUUUCGGUUCAUCAUGAUGAUGAUGGAUGCUUUCAGUUUAGUUAAGUUGUAGGAAUUUUGUUCCUGUUGGAUGAUGUUUCUCGGUUAAGGUUUAGUUAAGUUGUAGAGACAACUUGUUCACAAGGAGUGUGCUUCCUUCUACAGAGACAGCUGGUACACAUGGAGGUUGGGUUCGUUACUCGUGGUGGCAAAAAAGAUGGCACCUACCUUGUAUCUUGUUGGCCAAGGGUAGGAAGGGACACUUUGCAGAUGGAAGGGGGUGUUGUAGGGCAGUUACUCUAAAGGAAUGAAUGGAAAAAGGCAGAGGUGUUUAUCAUCGAAAACUAAACUUGCAUGUACCCAUCUUAUGUGAAUAAGCAUGUAACCAGCUUAUAUCGAUAUUUUCAUUGUAAUGGAGACAUAAGACACAAGU